rnacentral:sRNA from 1 species
UACAGGAAGAUCGUACACUGACUC